UGCAGUCGAGCGGACAGAAGGGAGCUUGCUCCCGGAUGUUAGCGGCGGACGGGUGAGUAACACGUGGGUAACCUGCCUGUAAGACUGGGAUAACUCCGGGAAACCGGAGCUAAUACCGGAUAGUUCCUUGAACCGCAUGGUUCAAGGAUGAAAGACGGUUUCGGCUGUCACUUACAGAUGGACCCGCGGCGCAUUAGCUAGUUGGUGGGGUAAUGGCUCACCAAGGCGACGAUGCGUAGCCGACCCUGAGAGGGUGAUCGGCCACACUGGGACUGAGACACGGCCCAGACUCCUACGGGAGGCAGCAGUAGGGAAUCUUCCGCAAUGGACGAAAGUCUGACGGAGCAACGCCGCGUGAGUGAUGAAGGUUUUCGGAUCGUAAAGCUCUGUUGUUAGGGAAGAACAAGUGCGAGAGUAACUGCUCGCACCUUGACGGUACCUAACCAGAAAGCCACGGCUAACUACGUGCCAGCAGCCGCGGUAAUACGUAGGUGGCAAGCGUUGUCCGGAAUUAUUGGGCGUAAAGGGCUCGCAGGCGGUUUCUUAAGUCUGAUGUGAAAGCCCCCGGCUCAACCGGGGAGGGUCAUUGGAAACUGGGAAACUUGAGUGCAGAAGAGGAGAGUGGAAUUCCACGUGUAGCGGUGAAAUGCGUAGAGAUGUGGAGGAACACCAGUGGCGAAGGCGACUCUCUGGUCUGUAACUGACGCUGAGGAGCGAAAGCGUGGGGAGCGAACAGGAUUAGAUACCCUGGUAGUCCACGCCGUAAACGAUGAGUGCUAAGUGUUAGGGGGUUUCCGCCCCUUAGUGCUGCAGCUAACGCAUUAAGCACUCCGCCUGGGGAGUACGGUCGCAAGACUGAAACUCAAAGGAAUUGACGGGGGCCCGCACAAGCGGUGGAGCAUGUGGGUUUAAUUCGAAGCAACGCGAAGAACCUUACCAGGUCUUGACAUCCUCUGACAACCCUAGAGAUAGGGCUUUCCCUUCGGGGACAGAGUGACAGGUGGUGCAUGGGUUGUCGUCAGCUCGUGUCGUGAGAUGUUGGGGUUAAGUCCCGCAACGAGCGCAACCCUUGAUCUUAGUUGCCAGCAUUCAGUUGGGCACUCUAAGGUGACUGCCGGUGACAAACCGGAGGAAGGUGGGGAUGACGUCAAAUCAUCAUGCCCCUUAUGACCUGGGCUACACACGUGCUACAAUGGACAGAACAAAGGGCUGCGAGACCGCAAGGUUUAGCCAAUCCCAUAAAUCUGUUCUCAGUUCGGAUCGCAGUCUGCAACUCGACUGCGUGAAGCUGGAAUCGCUAGUAAUCGCGGAUCAGCAUGCCGCGGUGAAUACGUUCCCG
rnacentral:rRNA from 1 species